GACGAACGCUGGCGGCGUGCCUAAUACAUGCAAGUUGAGCGCUGAAGGUUGGUACUUGUACCAACUGGAUGAGCAGCGAACGGGUGAGUAACGCGUGGGGAAUCUGCCUUUGAGCGGGGGACAACAUUUGGAAACGAAUGCUAAUACCGCAUAAAAACUUUAAACACAAGUUUUAAGUUUGAAAGAUGCAAUUGCAUCACUCAAAGAUGAUCCCGCGUUGUAUUAGCUAGUUGGUGAGGUAAAGGCUCACCAAGGCGAUGAUACAUAGCCGACCUGAGAGGGUGAUCGGCCACAGUGAGAAUGAGACACGGCCCAAACUCCUGCGGGAGGCAGCAGUAGGGAAUCUUCGGCAAUGGACGAAAGUCUGACCGAGCAACGCCGCGUGAGUGAAGAAGGUUUUCGGAUCGGAAAACUCUGUUGGUAGAGAAGAACGUUGGUGAGAGUGGAAAGCUCAUCAAGUGACGGUAACUACCCAGAAAGGGACGGCUAACUACGUG
rnacentral:rRNA from 1 species